CCCUUAGAUGUUCUGGGCGGCCCGCGCACUACAAUGGCGCUUUCAGCGAGUUCCUAUGUUGAAUUUUCCUGGGUAUUCUUGGAAGCGGCGUCUUGACUUGGGAUAGAUCCUUGUAAUUGUUGGUUUUGAACGAGGAAUUCCUUGUAAUCGCGGCUGAUCAGCUCGCGUUGAAUACGUCCCUGCCCUUUGUACACACCGCCCGUCGCUCCUACCGAUGAAUCGUCCGGUGAAGUUCACAGAGUGGCGGUUCGUGGAGUUGCUCGCGAAGUGAAAUGGACCUCACGAUUUAGAGGAAGGAGAAGUCGUAACA
rnacentral:rRNA from 1 species